rnacentral:rRNA from 1 species
GAUGAACGCUGGCGGCGUGCCUAAUACAUGCAAGUCGAGCGAACGGACGAGAAGCUUGCUUCUCUGAUGUUAGCGGCGGACGGGUGAGUAACACGUGGAUAACCUACCUAUAAGACUGGGAUAACUUCGGGAAACCGGAGCUAAUACCGGAUAAUAUUUUGAACCGCAUGGUUCAAAAGUGAAAGACGGUCUUGCUGUCACUUAUAGAUGGAUCCGCGCUGCAUUAGCUAGUUGGUAAGGUAACGGCUUACCAAGGCAACGAUGCAUAGCCGACCUGAGAGGGUGCUGGCCCACACUGGACCUGAGACACGGCCCAACCCCCUACGGGAGGCAGCAGGAGGAAAUCUCCCGAAAAGGGCGAAAGCCUGACGGAGCAACGCCGGGUGGGUGAUGAAGGUUUGCGGCUCGUAAACCUCUUUUAUUGGGAAAAAAAAAUUGUGUAAGUAACUGUGCCAAUUUUACCUGGACCAAAUAAAAAACCCCCGGCUAACUACGU